UCCCUGGUAGUAUAUCGGUUAGUACACGCGCCUGUCAUAGCAAUUGGCCAUAAGUCGCGCGAAAGCUGGGUUCGACUCCCAGCCAGGGAG